rnacentral:rRNA from 1 species
GACGAACGCUGGCGGCGUGCUUAACACAUGCAAGUCGAACGGGCCGGCCUCUUUCGGGGGGUGCGCGAGUGGCGGACGGGUGAGUAACACGUGAGUAAUCUGCCCCUGACUUUGGGAUAACUACCGCAAAAAGGGGCUGAUACUGGGGGGGGGCUCCUGCGGCCUGGUGGGGGUGGGAGAGUUUCGGCGGCUGGGGUUGGAGUCGCGGCGUGGCAGCGUGUCGGUGGGGUAGUGGCUGACGGAGGCGUUGUCGGGUAGCCGGCCGGAGAGGGUGAACGGCCACAUUGGGACUGAGAUAGGGCCCAGACGCCGUCGGGAGGCAGCAGCGGUGAAUGGUGCACUAUGGGUGCGAGCCUGCUGCAGCAACGCCGUGUGCGGGAUUACGGCCUUCUGGUUGUAAUCCGCUUUCGCUCAUGACUGAGCUUUGUUUGACGGUAGUCGGUAAAGAAGCACCGGCUAACUACGUG